UUUGGAUUUGGUGACGGCGAGGGGUACUGUUAUAAAGCCCGCCUAAUGGACUCUUGCGGCCUAAGCAGCUUAGGGUCUUCCUUCGAGGAGUCCAAUGUUAUGGUGUUCGUUUUCGAAUCCAGGUUUAGGUUGGACACUAUCGUCGGAGUUGGAGGUCACUACGACAAGAAGUCCAAGGCAACUGAGCACACUUGGUCGGAAAGAACAACCAGGCUCGACAUGGUUAACCGCUUUUGUCGUCCGUGGCUUGUCCAUGGCCAAAGAGUUCAUCACCAUCGACGACAGCCAGAUCGAGAAAUCUGUCAAAUUCCUCGAUUCCUAACAGAAUCCGGACGGUUCUUUCCGCGAGGAUGGGUACAUCCUGGAUUCGGGGCUAAUGGGAGGAUCCGGGACCGGCCCAGCUCUAACCGCUUUCGUAACGCUGGCAUACAGUCAGAAUCAUUAUCUUAACCAUACAGCCAUGCGCAAGGCCAAAUUCUAUCUGGAAGGCAUUCUAUCAAAGGUCACGGAUUCGUA